rnacentral:rRNA from 1 species
UACGGGGGGGGCAAGCGUUGUUCGGAAUUACUGGGCGUAAAGGGCUCGUAGGUGGCCAACUAAGUCAGACGUGAAAUCCCUCAGCUUAACUGGGGAACUGCGUCUGAUACUGGAUGGCUUGAGUUUGGGAGAGGGAUGCGGAAUUCCUGGUGUAGCGGUGAAAUGCGUAGAUAUCAGGAGGAACACCGGUGGUGUAGACGGCUUUCUGGACCGUAACUGACGCUGAGACACGAAAGCGUGGGUAGCAAACAGG